rfam:Aspergillus aculeatus ATCC 16872 unplaced genomic scaffold ASPACscaffold_6, whole genome shotgun sequence.
GCCCGGUUAGCUCAAUGGUCAGAGCGUCCGACUUUUAAUCGGAAGGUUGCGAGUUCGACCCUCGCAUCGGGCG